AUGUCUCUGCACGUUAAGUCUAUGGAUGCACGUAAAGUCUACUAUUGCGCUUAAAACAAAUAAAAUGAUUUAAUAAAAACUUGUAUAGUUUGAUGAGCAAACUAUAAAAUUAAUACAAUGUGAUUAGCAAGCUGAAAAAAUUUUAGAGUCUGUUUUGUCAAUUACAACGUUGACCUAACAAACCUUGCCAGAUUGCACUAAACUUAUUAAAAUUUCUAACCGGUUAAGUCAAAAAACUAUCAAUUAUUAUUGAAAAAACUAAACAGAUGCUCUUCUACCCAUAGGCGGACUCAUAGAGGAGCAAUGAAGGUUGUGAUGCAGUGUCUGCGUUUCAAGGAAAAGCUAAACUAUAUCUCCUAAAGACGGCAAAAUUCGCUUAUUUUACAUAUUAAGCGUGCCAAUUAUGAUGCUUACAUUCAAAAAAAUGCAUUGAAAGAAGUUGAGUUUCGCGUGUUCAAAGAUAAACCAUUCCAAAUUCGAGGUGCAGCCAUACAAAAAGAUUUUGAGCCUAAGGAGGUUUUUUGUUGACGACGUGUAAGUUGGCAACUGUCUAAUGAUCUUGUAUUUUGUUUUGAAGUUCGGACUUCUAGGAGUUCAAAUAAAUAUGUAGGAGAUUUAAUAUUUAUAUAUUAUUAAUAAUUCAAAAGAGAAUCUAAACGUUUUCUAUUAGAAAAAACUUUCGAUUUUAAAGAUUUCUUCUA